rnacentral:rRNA from 1 species
UGGGGAAUCUUCCACAAUGGACGCAAGUCUGAUGGAGCAACGCCGCGUGAGUGAAGAAGGUCUUCGGAUCGUAAAACUCUGUUGUUAGAGAAGAACACGAGUGAGAGUAACUGUUCAUUCGAUGACGGUAUCUAACCAGCAAGUCACGGCUAACUACGCGCCAG